CAUUCUGCGCGGCGCCAGGUCUCUCCUCGGGCCUCGCCUUUCCCUUCGUGAGCAAACCUCGCGCUUUUUGCUCACCCUUCCAGGACGCGGCCUCCUCGCUUCUUAAAAUGUCUGAGCUCUACGAAGUGGAACUGUUAGCCCUCCGUUUAUUGCCUUACUUCACACUGAAAUAAGCCAACGUUUAUUUUAUUUUAUUUAUUUUAUUAUUUAUUUUAUUAUUUUUUUUGGAGACGGAGUCUCGCUGUGUCCCAGGCUGGAGUGCCGUGGCGGGAUCUCGACUCACUGCAACCUCCGCCUCCGUGUUCAAGCUAUUCUACCUCAGCCUCCCGAGUAGCUGGGAUUACAGGCGCCCGACACCACGCCCGGCUAAUUUUUGUAUUUUUAGUAGAGAUGGGGUUUCACCAUGUUGGCCAGGCUGAUCUCGAACUGCUGACCUUGUGAUCCUCCCGCCUCAGCCUCCCAAAGUGCUGGGAUUACAGGCGUGAGCCACCGCGCCCGGCCCCCAACGUUCAUUUUUAAGCCUGUCAUAUCUCACAUUAAAUGUGUAAGUCUCUGAACUGUAGGGCUUUGAACAAAGGAAAGUUCCAUGAGAAUACUAUAUGAUGCCAAUUUCUACUGUUAGGAACGCGAUAACAGAGUGCAGUGGGGGAGAAAAUACGGUCCUCAAGAUCUGAGAAACUGGAGAGGAAAAGUCACAGGACAACCAACUUCUCUAUGACCUAGCCCAGCAUCUGAGGAAAGUCCUGCAAUAGUGGAGGUGGAGCAGAGGGUAUGAGCUGGGAAGCAAAUGGAGCAGGUUGGUCCACAGGACUCAGGGAAGGAGAAAAAAGUAUAAAAAUUUCUUUUCUUAUUACAAGAAUUCCAAGAUGUGUCAGAGUUGACCAGAAGCAUAGAGAAGACUACAUAGUCAAGUACCCACCAGGGGAAUGUGGUAGAAUUGGCAGUCUGUUGGUCUCUUUGUAAUGUCAGAUUAAAGAAAUCACCUGGAAGCUGACAUUGGCCCCUUCCCUUCCCAGGAGGCAGAUCUGGCCUAAAUACGGAGAUGCCUACAAAGAAGACCUAGGAUCACAAUCGUUCUUAGCACAUCAAACUCUUCUUCCAGGUCCUAGAGAAAGUGGCCACUCUAUACCAAAGCCAAAGAACUGCAGAGUACUCCUCUUGGUUGGGGUUUCAUAUUGCUCUUGUAAUUCAGUUUCCUCUCAUCUUUGCUGUCAUUUCGUGGGUACCAACAGCCUUGGCCAGGUGUGAGAAGUGUCCAUUACUAUUGUUUGCUCUGACUAUCUUGCGCAAAGAUGCCAAGUAAGGCUGGAGCAAAGGCCUUGGUGAUACUCUUGCCUUGGACAGAUAAAUGGUGGUAGUAUAGCUAGUCCCUCAGUUGCACCUGUUUGUAUUCCAAAGGCAGUAAACACAGAUGUUCAGAAGCCCUUUAUAAUCAAGAUGUCAAAUAUCUGAAAUUAUUCCCCAGCUCUGACAAAACUUGCCUUCUGGGUGUGGAGACAAAACAAGAAUUUGUGACUACUGCUGAUCACAUCUAGAACUGCCUUGAGGCUGGCCAUGAAGACUUGAAACCACAAUUUUCACUGAGGAUCUAAACCUCAGAUCACAUUUGUUUGGGGCUACUGUGGGGUAAGGGGAUAUUAAGGAUGUAAAAGGGAUGUUGCAAAUGCUCAUGAGACCAGGUUUUGUGGCACGCUAGGGCCACCACUAAUUCUCCAUGAUGACUUCUCCACAGGACUUGCUUAAGCACAGGCACAGGACCCACCAAUAAUCAGAUGUGCACUCUACACAGACUGCACCCGCCGAGAACAGGUCACAGUCCUGUGACACAAACCCAUAUACACAACCGAGAGAUUGGCAUUUUGGUCCAUGCUUAUUUAACAAAUUCCCUUCUGCUGUGGGCACUAGGACAGGGGGCUGGCAAUACUCAGAUGAGCUGUCCCACCCCCAAGUCCAAAGCAGCAGCUCUCAGGCCUCCUCUGCUGCCUCACGCCAUUCCAAACAUGAUGGCUGGGCUUACACACCUGUCUUACUGGAGGCCUCCCUCUCUGUGUUCCCUUUCCACCGCUAUUCCAUUACUUCCACAGGAGCUGGAGGCUGCCCCAUCCACUCCAAGCCAGAGAACAAGCAGAGGCUGCCACAGGAGAUCCUGGGCAAGUAAUCAGCCACAGCAUCUAGAUUAGCAUGAAGGAAACACUGGCCAAAUUAAAAGAUGAAAUUUCCAAAAGGU